CGGGGACAUGUGCACGCUCUGUUUACACWUCCACUCACACCUGUGCACCCUCCGUAGUUCUGUGGUCUGGGGGACCCUGUCUUCCUGCCGUGGUUCUACGUCUUUACACACACACUGUAAUAAAGUCUUAUGGAAUGUAUGCCGCGUCUAACGCAAUACAAUACAACUUUCARCAACGGAUCUCUUGGCUCUCGCAUCGAUGAAGAACGCARCGAAAUGCGAUAAGUAAUGUGAAUUGCAGAAUUCAGUGAAUCAUCKAAUCUUUGAACGCACCUUGCGCCCCUUGGCUAUUCCGAGGGGCAUGCCUGUUUGAGUAUCAUGAACACCUCAACUCUCAUGGUUUGCCGUGAUGAGCUUGGACUCUGGGGGUUUUGCUGGCCUGCGGUCGGCUCCCCUCAAAUGAAUCARCCUCCCAGUGUUUGGUGGCAUCACGGGUGUGAUAAAUAUCUACGCUCGCAGUUGUCCGCCAGGUAACCUUUGGUAACAAAGGUUCGCUGGAGCUCACAGAUGUCUCUCCUCAGCGAGGACAGCUUUUUGAACGUUCGAUCUCAAAUCAGGUAGGACUACCCGCUGAACUUAAGCAUAUCAAUAAGCGGAGGAAAAGAAACUAACAAGGAUUCCCCUAGUAACUGCGAGUGAAGCGGGAAGAGCUCAAAUUUAAAAUCUGGCGUGCCUCUGGUCGUCCGAGUUGUAGUCUAGARAAGUGUUUUCCGUGCUGGACCGUGUACAAGUCUCC
rnacentral:rRNA from 1 species